UGUGUGUUCCAACUUGGAAAUCCUGAGGUG
rnacentral:piRNA from 1 species